rnacentral:ncRNA from 1 species
AGGUGCUCGUUGCCGCAAGGCAACGGGAGAAUAGGGAAGGUAGUGCAAAUCUACCGCGGUCCCGCCACUGUGACUGGUCGGACGGCCCUCGAGGGGCCGUCGCGCCACCGAUGAAAUCCACUGGCCUACCUUUGGUUGGGAAGGAAUCGGACCGGCGCUAGACCAGAAGCCAGGAGACCUGCCUGCGAC